rnacentral:rRNA from 1 species
UCCGUAGAUAUCACUAGGAAUACCGAAAGCGAAGGCGAUCUCCUGGAACAUUACUGACGCUAAGGCGUGAAAGCGUGGGGAGCAAACGGGAUUAGAUACCCCGGUAGUCCACGCCCUAAACGAUGUUCACUAGUCGUCGGGAUGCUAGUCAUCUCGGUGAUGCACUUAACAGAUUAAGUGAACCGCCUGGGGAGUACGGUCGCAAGAUUAAAACUCAAAGGAAUAGACGGGGACCCGCACAAGUGGUGGAGCAUGUGGUUUAAUUCGAAGAUACGCGAAGAACCUUACCUAGCCUUGACAUUGAUAGAAUACACCAGAGAUGGAGUAGUGCCUUUCGGGGAACUUGAAAACAGGUGCUGCACGGCUGUCGUCAGCUCGUGUCGUGAGAUGUUGGGUUAAGUCCCGCAACGAGCGCAACCCUCGUCCUUAGUUGCCAGCAGGUUAAGCUGGGCACUCUAAGGAGACUGCCUUCGUAAGGAGGAGGAAGGUGAGGACGACGUCAAGUCAUCAUGGCCCUUAUGGCUAGGGCUACACACGUGCUACAAUGGGGCGUACAGAGUGUUGCGAUACCGCGAGGUGGAGCUAAUCACUUAAAGCGUCUCUCAGUUCGGAUAGCAGUCUGCAACUCGACUGCUUGAAGCUGGAAUCACUAGUAAUCGUAGAUCAGCAAUGCUACGGUGAAUACGU